AGUUCUCUUCAUGUUAAUGGAUCUCUGAGGGACUAUCCCACAAGCUCCAAGCCCAGCACGGUGGGGAAACCAAACCAUGGACUAGCUUCUUCUGCUUCCCUCUCCCACUCACCGUCCUCCGCCAGCAGCUCCUCCUCCUCCAGCUCUUUGUCCUCCUCACAGUCUACCUCAGACAUCCAACCAGACGUUCGUUUUAUUCCGCGUCCACUAAACCAAGUCAGCGGCAUGCCUUUCAGUAAUGGGGAUCAGAACCCUGUAGGAAACGGGGCGUCCUUCCUGGUGCCGGAUAGCCAAGAGGAAUCAGACAAAGAGAACUGUGACACUCUGGAUAACGGCAGUUCAUCCAAGUCUCAUCCUAAUGAAAAUAAAGACACAGGAAAUGUCUUUGAUAAUUCUCCCAAAACCGCCAAUGGGGAGUCAGGAGUGCACCAUCACGGCAAUGGAUUAAAUGGACAA
ensembl:lncRNA